rnacentral:rRNA from 1 species
AGGACGAACGCUGGCGGCGCGCUUAACACAUGCAAGUCGAGCGGUAAGGCUCCUUCGGGAGUACACGAGCGGCGAACGGGUGAGUAACACGUGAGCAAUCUGCCCUUCACACUGGGAUAACCCCGGGAAACCGGGGCUAAUACCGGAUGCGACCACCGACGGCAUCGUCUGGUGGUGGAAAGUUCCGGCGGUGGAGGAUGAGCUCGCGGCCUAUCAGCUUGUUGGUGGGGUAAUGGCCUACCAAGGCUUCGACGGGUAGCCGGCCUGAGAGGGUGACCGGCCACACUGGGACUGAGACACGGCCCCAGACUCCUACGGGAGGCAGCAGUGGGGAAUAUUGGACAAUGGGCGAAAGCCUGAUCCAGCAACGCCGCGUGAGGGAUGACGGCCUCGGGUUGUAAACCUCUUUCAGCAGGACGAAGCGCAAGUGACGGUACCUGCAGAAGAAGCACCGGCCAACUACGUGCCAGCAGCCGC